rnacentral:rRNA from 1 species
CCUACGGGAGGCAGCAGUGAGGAAUAUUGGUCAAUGGACGAGAGUCUGAACCAGCCAAGUAGCGUGAAGGAUGACUGCCCUAUGGGUUGUAAACUUCUUUUAUAUGGGAAUAAAACGUUCCACGUGUGGGAUUUUGUAUGUACCAUAUGAAUAAGGAUCGGCUAACUCCGUGCCAGCAGCCGCGGUAAUACGGAGGAUCCGAGCGUUAUCUGGAUUUAUUGGGUUUAAAGGGAGCGUAGGUGGAUUGUUAAGUCAGUUGUGAAAGUUUGCGGCUCAACCGUAAAAUUGCAGUUGAAACUGGCAGUCUUGAGUACAGUAGAGGUGGGCGGAAUUCGUGGUGUAGCGGUGAAAUGCUUAGAUAUCACGAAGAACUCCGAUUGCGAAGGCAGUUCACUGGACUGCAACUGACACUGAGGCUCGAAAGUGUGGGUAUCAAACAGGAUUAGAUACCCUUGUAGUC